AACCUCCGCAAUGUGAGAAAUCGCGACGGGGGGAUCCCAAGUGCCAUUCUUAACGGGAUGGCUUUUCAUUAGUGUAAAAAGCUUUUGGAAUAAGAGCUGGGCAAGACCGGUGCCAGCCGCCGCGGUAACACCGGCAGCUCUAGUGGUAGCAAUUUUUAUUGGGCCUAAAGCGUCCGUAGCCGGUUUAAUAAGUCUCUGGUGAAAUCCUGUAGCUUAACUGUGGGAAUUGCUGGAGAUACUAUUAGACUUGAGACCGGGAGAGGUUAGAGGUACUCCCAGGGUAGAGGUGAAAUUCUGUAAUCCUGGGAGGACCGCCUGUUGCGAAGGCGUCUAACUGGAACGGUUCUGACGGUGAGGGACGAAAGUUAGGGGCGCGAACCGGAUUAGAUACCCGGGUAGUCCUAACUGUAAACGAUGCGGACUUGGUGUUGGGGUGGCUUUGAGCUGCUCCAGUGCCGAAGGGAAGCUGUUAAGUCCGCCGCCGGGGAAGUACGGUCGCAAGACUGAAACUUAAAGGAAUU
rnacentral:rRNA from 1 species